GUCCACGCUGUAAACGAUGGACACUAGGUGUGGGGGGUAUUGACCCCCUCCGUGCCGCAGCAAACGCGAUAAGUGUCCCGCCUGGGGAGUACGGCCGCAAGGCUAAAACUCAAAGGAAUUGACGGGGGCCCGCACAAGCAGCGGAGCGUGUGGUUUAAUUCGACGCAACGCGAAGAACCUUACCAAGGCUUGACAUGCUGGUAGUACCGACCUGAAAAGGAAGGGACCCUUCGGGGAGCCAGUGCAGGUGAUGCAUGGCUGUCGU
rnacentral:rRNA from 1 species